rnacentral:rRNA from 1 species
UACGUAGGGUGCGAGCGUUGUCCGGAAUUAUUGGGCGUAAAGAGCUCGUAGGCGGUCUGUCGCGUCUGCUGUGAAAUCCCGAGGCUCAACCUCGGGCCUGCAGUGGGUACGGGCAGACUAGAGUGCGGUAGGGGAGAUUGGAAUUCCUGGUGUAGCGGUGAAAUGCGCAGAUAUCAGGAGGAACACCGGUGGCGAAGGCGGGUCUCUGGGCCGAUACUGACGCUGAGGAGCGAAAGCGUGGGGAGCAAACAGG